CAAUCGCACUCGUCGUCGGAUACGUUGAAAAACUUGAGUUUCAGAGUAUCGUUCGCAUCGCACGCGUAAAGAUUUUCGCGGAAGGUCGCGCUCCAGGAAACAGCCAAGUACAUUUCCUGACAAAAAUAACUUUAGAGAUCAAAUUACCGAAAUUAUCAAACUGAUAGUGUAUCGUGACACAACCAUAC